AGCUCACUGGUCGAGUGAUCCUGCGCCGAAGAUUUCCGGGGCUAAAACUUACUACCGAAGCUACGGCAUCAGUAAUGAUGGGUAGGGGGGCUUCCCAUACGGGUUGAAGACCGUAGGGACAUGGGGAAAGUAGGGUGGUGAGAAUGGUGGCAUGGAUAGCGGAAUGGGAGUGAGAAUCCCACAGGCCGUAAACCCAUGGUUUCCAGGGGAAG
rnacentral:rRNA from 1 species